rnacentral:rRNA from 1 species
UACGGGGGGGGCAAGCGUUGUUCGGAAUUACUGGGUUUAAAGGGUGCGUAGGAGGGCAGGUAAGUCAGUGGUGAAAUCUCCAAGCUUAACUUGGAAACUGCCGUUGAUACUAUCUGUCUUGAAUAUUGUGGAGGUGAGCGGAAUAUGUCAUGUAGCGGUGAAAUGCUUAGAUAUGACAUAGAACACCAAUUGCGAAGGCAGCUCACUACACAAUCAUUGACUCUGAGGCACGAAAGCGUGGGGAUCAAACAGG